AUAUGUCGAUCAUCAGGAGAAGAAACAAGGGGAAACCCUUGUUCAACCUUAAUCCAUCAAAUUGGAGAGCAAAUCAAGACCCAAAUCGAUACAUGAACAUGAAUAAACGAUCACCAAGUCAAGGGGAUCGUAAGUUUGACGCUUAACGAGCUAGGUGGCGGCUUGGGAAAAGAAGCGGGUCAAACAGCUUGAAUACGCGGAGAAAGAGCGAAAACAGAUGAAAGGUAUAUUUACAGUACCGGAGGAUGAUCAAGCUCAACGAAUAACCGAACACGAUCAAGUUUAAGCUUCCGCACGUUAUUACGUUGUUGUGUUGAACAACGAAUUAAAUCACAUUUUGUUGUAUUGUUUCAAUGCUAAGUAAAGAUUUAAAUAAACCCGUACUUUCAUUAGUAUGUUUAAUCAUAAA